ACCCUUCUAAAUCCGCGCAGAGAUUUCGUCAGAUAUCAGCCCAUAGGGGCUGAUCAGACUUUCAAGAUAAGUGAAGUU
rnacentral:pre_miRNA from 1 species